GAGGCUUGAUGGACAAGGCUGGCGAGCUAGGAUUGUGAUUCCUGUCGUCGUGGGUUCGAGUCCCAUCAGCCACCCCA
rnacentral:tRNA from 1 species